GUCCUGGUCCUCGCGGGGCCCGCUCCCGGGAGGCGAAGCUCCACGGAGGACGCGGAGGUGGUUUCAGGCCGCAGCGCCGGGGGCUCCUCUGCCCGCGCUGCUCGGGGAGACGGGUUGCUCUCUCUUCAAGUUCUAGCCUAUCCGUCCCUCCAUCUUGGAGAGAGACCCUCGCAGCCUUCCCGCGUUCACUCCGCCGGGGGCCGCUGGAGCGGAAGCUGCGGGGUCUCGGGGCCCGGCUCUUUCCCGCCGAGCCGCGAGCCGCGGGUGCGCAUGCUCCGCAGAGGCCCGCACAGGCCCUGAGUGAACCCUGAUAGAGCCAUCGCGAGGCGGGCCCCAGAUUCGGAUGAGGAGCCCCACGCCAACUGAAAUGGGAGGCAGUCCGCCCGCCUCAUGUAACCUGGCUGCCCGUUCUCGCUGGACCAGGGCCUUUCACUCACAAGCUCCUCAGCAGAUGGGGCAUCCCAUUUCCAGUGGGCUUCCACUCGACGCUGGCUUGGCUUCGUGGAAAGAGAGUGGGUGAAAAGUCAGAGCCUAAGAGCUGCCGCUGGACUCCGCAGCCUUCACCUUGCCUCUUCCUAUUUGGAAGCAGAUGCGCGUCCAGUUAGCACAGUCCUGCUUCUCGACCAGGAGCCCUUCCCCUGAAUGAAGAAAGUGGGACAGGAGGAGUUGAGCUACCUGCCCAGGACUCUAACCAGAUACCUGACUGGGUAUCUUGCCAUCCUUCUCCGGUACCAGGGUCAGGAGAAGGGCUCCUACCCUCUGGAGGCUCCGAGUUUCAAGGAGGAGGAAAAAAAAACAAAAACUAACAAAGCAAUAACAACAAAACUUUCCUUCUUAUUAGCUAUAAAUAAAUGCAGCUGGGCAUACAUUUUUCAAAAUGCCAGAAAGACAAAUGGACCAAGAACUCAGAUGUGCGAGUGUUUACCCUCCCCCUUCUUCCUCAUGAACCUGUGGCUGUGCCUUUGUGUAUACAAGGCCAAGUGGUGGAUGCUUGAAGAUACCUGCCUUCCUUCUAGACAUUUGGCCCUGGAGGAACACACAGAAGACUCGUCACAAGGACUGGGAGAACCUCUCUUCAUGGAAGGUCCUCAUCAUCACGGCUUUCCUAGCACUAUGAAGCGAGCCGUUCUUCCCAGCGCAAGGUGGAACUGAAGGCACUUCAGCCGAAGGGGAAGGGAAGAACUGAAGGCCAAGGCUCGGGAGAGAGUUCCUGGAGGUUACGUGACCAUCUUUAAGUAGGGGUGUAGGUCCUGCAAAGCUCCGAAACUCAGGCUGCUCUCCUGACACCCGCCAGGUCCCCUCUCCAAGCUCCCCAGGCUGGGGCAGGAAGUGGUUCCCCCUUCCAAAAGAAUUUCAAAGAAAUGCCCCUGUGCCCCAGGUCGCUGCAUUCCUUCAGCAAAAGGGAGCUGCCAGAGCUGGUGAAACCCGAGUCCUGUGGUGCAGGCUGGACCGGAAGCACGUCUGAGAUCUCAGAACCUGCACCAAGGCAGGGAAAAGUCUCUUAGAGUGUGUUCAUUUUUUUUUCCUGGCUAAAUCUAAUUAAGACAAGGUCCUAGCUUCCUCUGAGUCUGCUGCAGGUCAUCAGGCAGUUUCUAAGAAGGACUGUGAAAACUCUCUGGCUUCCCCACAGCAAUACUCACUCAGAAUGUGUCCUGUUCUCUCUGGAGUCUUAUUUCAGCAACAAGUCAAUGUCUUCCCAUAAGGGGUGUGAAUGAUAAGCUUCUGUUUCCCAGUGAAGUUUAGGAGCUAAACUUCCCUCUCACCAGUGCACCACCCCCUCCUCCACACACAAAGUAGACUCUACAUCCACCUAACAACUCUUUCUUAUUCCCUAAAUAACCCAGCCCAAAGGAAGAAAGACAGGUGGUCAGAAUCAGAGAGGUGUAAGAAGAAACCAGGGGGCCAAAUACAGUGAGAGUGAGCAAGGCGCAGGCAGAGCAAUAACUCAUCGUCUAGAGAGGCAGGCUGGCGGCACCUGGGAAGUCCACUUGGGGAUCAAAGUGGCUAAGCAAGGAUAGUCUUAGAUGACUCCAAGGUAAGCCCAGCUGGCUAGCACCCCAGCAUCCAGGAGGGCUGGCACCUUGACUUGACUUGGCAGAAUAAUCAUGUACAUGCUUCUCUAUGUACUUGAUGUUUAUUUAAUCUUCCCAACAAUUCUAUAAUAGCCCCAUUUUACAGAUGAAGUAACUGAGGCACAGAGAGAGUAGGUAACUUGCCUAGAGUCAUACAAUCAGUAUGUCGGAGAGCCCAGAUUUGAACCCGGCAAUCUGGCUUCAGAGUCUAAGCACCAAACCACCACAUCGCAGCUCACACCCGUUACUGGAUGUUCAAGUUGCUGUGGCUGUACAAUCCCCAAACUUAGUGGCUUAAAACAUCGUCAACCAUCUGUUUAGCUCAUGAGUCUACAAUCUGGGCAGGGCAUGGUAAGAAAGGUUAGGUUCUGCUGGGGCAUCUUAUCUGAGGACAGGAGGGCCCACGGGCAAGAUGAUCCACUCACAUGGUUAGCAAGUGCGAAACAGCUGCUGGCUGGGAGAUCAGGCCAGAUCGAGACCUGGGACUGUGCUCUUUUCUGUGCGGGACUCUCCACGGGCUGCUUGGCCUUCCUCGCAGCAUGGUGGCUGGGUUCCAAGAGUGAGACCCCCAAGAGACAGGAAAUGGAAACUGACAGUUUUUUAAAGCUUAGGCCCAGAAACUGGCAGGGCAUCAUUUUUGCCAUAUUCUGUUGGUUGAAGCAGUGAUGUAUCCCAGGUUCAAGGGAAAGGGGUCUAAUGGAAGGAGUAUUAGAAUUUGGGACUGUGUUUUUAAACUGCUACAUGGGGCCUGGGGUUCAGAAGAAGUCCUGGAUCUCAGGAAUGAGGGAGUUACCGCUCACUGCUACCUUUUGCUCAGGGCUGAGCAGAGGGAAGUAAGUCUCCAGUGUGUGCCAGGUUUUGGCCUCACAGGCAUUAUCUCAAUUACCUCAAUCGCAUGCAGGUUUUCUCACCACUUUAGAUGAGUGCUGUGAGCCUCAGAGAGGGCAUUAACCUUACCCAAGGUCGGCCAGCUGGUAAGUGGCAGAGCUUUUCUGACUCCAGAGCUGAACCUUGAGCUCUCCUGGGGAACUGCCCACAGAUGAGGAGCAGGGCUGGCCCCAGAGGUACAACGAGGUUGUCCGGGAAGAGGACAAUGAGCCAAGCUAUUACUCCCUACCCGCUCCAGAACCCCCACCAGGUCAGAGAAGGACUCCAAACACUCUGUCUCAAGGCAUCCUUUCCCUCCUGUGCCUCCUCCCCGGCUGGGGCAUGUACAGACCUUCCUCCUUGGCCCUGCCUCCCAAAUUGUGUUUCUCAAUUCCGAGCAGUUCCCGAAAUCCUCUCUGUACUUCCUUGAAACCUUCCCAGAGGCAUUCCCCCAGUUCUACCUGUCUCAGCCAUAAGCUGCGACUAAUUACCAGCAUAAAGCUUUCAAGUCUUUAAAUAAACUUUUUGUUUAUAAUUUUAGAUUCACAGAAAAAUUCUAAAGAUGGUACAGAGAGCUCCCAUGUUCUCUAUGCCAGUUUCCCCCAUUAUUAUCGCCUUAUGUUAGCCUGCUACCUGUCACAAUGAGUAGACAAAUACUGAUAUAUUACUGUUAGCCGUGUGAUAUUAUGAGCAUUAUUAUUAAAGCAUAAGUCCAUA